GCAAGUCGAGCGGCAGCAUGACGUGUAGCAAUACACGUUGAUGGCGAGCGGCGGACGGGUGAGUAAUGCAUGGGAAUCUGCCCAGUAGCGGGGGACAACCCGGAGAAAUCCGGGCUAAUACCGCAUACGCCCUACGGGGGAAAGCGGGGGACCGAAAGGCCUCGCACUAUUGGAGGAGCCCAUGUCCGAUUAGCUAGUUGGUGAGGUAACGGCUCACCAAGGCAACGAUCGGUAGCUGGUCUGAGAGGACGAUCAGCCACACCGGAACUGAGACACGGUCCGGACUCCUACGGGAGGCAGCAGUGGGGAAUAUUGGACAAUGGGGGAAACCCUGAUCCAGCAAUGCCGCGUGGGUGAAGAAGGCCUGCGGGUUGUAAAGCCCUUUCGAUGAGGACAAAACGCGCCGUGUUAACACCACGGUGUUUUGAUUUAACUCAUUAAAGAAGCACCGGCUAACUCUGUGCCAGCAGCCGCGGUAAUACAGAGGGUGCGAGCGUUAAUCGGAAUUACUGGGCGUAAAGCGCACGUAGGCGGCUUGGUAAGUUGGAUGUGAAAUCCCCGGGCUUAACUUGGGAAUUGCAUUCAAGACUGCCUUGCUAGAGUGUGGGAGAGGGAAGCGGAAUUCCAGGU
rnacentral:rRNA from 1 species